UACAGAGGUCUCAACCGUUGUUCGGAUUCAUUGGGCGUAAAGGGUGCGUAGGCGGUCGUGCAAGUCGGAUGUGAAAUCUCAGGGCUCAACCCUGAAACUGCAUUCGAUACUGCGUGGCUAGAGUGCUGGAGAGGAGACUGGAAUUUACGGUGUAGCAGUGAAAUGCGUAGAUAUCGUAAGGAAGACCAGUGGCGAAGGACGAGUCUCUGGACAGCAACUGACGCUGAGGCACGAAGGCCAGGGGAGCAAACGGG
rnacentral:rRNA from 1 species